GAAGUAAAAAUCGUAACAAGGUCUCCGUUGGUGAACCAGCGGAGGGAUCAUUACCGAGUUUACAACUCCCAAACCCAAUGUGAACGUUACCAAACUGUUGCCUCGGCGGGGUCACGCCCCGGGUGCGUCGCAGCCCCGGAACCAGGCGCCCGCCGGAGGAACCAACCAAACUCUUUCUGUAGUCCCCUCGCGGACGUAUUUCUUACAGCUCUGAGCAAAAAUUCAAAAUGAAUCAAAACUUUCAACAACGGAUCUCUUGGUUCUGGCAUCGAUGAAGAACGCAGCGAAAUGCGAUAAGUAAUGUGAAUUGCAGAAUUCAGUGAAUCAUCGAAUCUUUGAACGCACAUUGCGCCCGCCAGUAUUCUGGCGGGCAUGCCUGUCCGAGCGUCAUUUCAACCCUCGAACCCCUCCGGGGGAUCGGCGUUGGGGAUCGGGACCCCUCACACGGGUGCCGGCCCCGAAAUACAGUGGCGGUCUCGCCGCAGCCUCUCCUGCGCAGUAGUUUGCACAACUCGCACCGGGAGCGCGGCGCGUCCACGUCCGUAAAACACCCAACUUUCUGAAAUGUUGACCUCGGAUCAGGUAGGAAUACCCGCUGAACUUAAGCAUAUCAAA
rnacentral:rRNA from 1 species